rnacentral:rRNA from 1 species
ACUCCUAAACCCAUGUGAACAUACCUAUUGUUGCUUCGGCAGGUCUCGCAGCCCUCCCGGUUUUGAUGCUCCCUCACCGGAGCACCUACCCGGUAGCUGCGGGGUAAGCCUGCCGGUGGCCCACUAAACUCUGUUUGAUUUUGAAAUUCUGAAUCUAUAACUAAAUAAGUUAAAACUUUCAACAACGGAUCUCUUGGUUCUGGCAUCGAUGAAGAACGCAGCGAAAUGCGAUAAGUAAUGUGAAUUGCAGAAUUCAGUGAAUCAUCGAAUCUUUGAACGCACAUUGCGCCCAUUAGUAUUCUAGUGGGCAUGCCUGUUCGAGCGUCAUUUCAACCCUUAAGCCCUCGUUGCUUAGUGUUGGGAGACUACGGCGACGUAGCUCCCUAAAGUGAGUGGCGGAGUCGGUUUGCACUCUAGGCGUAGUAAUUCUUUUCUCGCCUCUGUAGUCGGAUCGUCCCCUGCCGUAAAACCCCCCAAUUUCUAAAGGUUGACCUCGGAUCAGGUAGGAAUACCCGCUGAACUUAAGCAUAUCAAUA